UACGUAGGGCGCAAGCGUUAUCCGGAAUUAUUGGGCGUAAAGAGCUCGUAGGCGGUUUGUCGCGUCUGCCGUGAAAGUCCGGGGCUCAACUCCGGAUCUGCGGUGGGUACGGGCAGACUAGAGUGAUGUAGGGGAGACUGGAAUUCCUGGUGUAGCGGUGAAAUGCGCAGAUAUCAGGAGGAACACCGAUGGCGAAGGCAGGUCUCUGGGCACUAACCGACGCUGAGGAGCGAAAGCAUGGGGAGCGAACAGG
rnacentral:rRNA from 1 species